rnacentral:rRNA from 1 species
GGCUCAGAUUGAACGCUGGCGGCAUGCCUUACACAUGCAAGUCGAACGGCAGCGCGGGAGCAAUCCUGGCGGCGAGUGGCGAACGGGUGAGUAAUACAUCGGAACGUGCCCAAUCGUGGGGGAUAACGCAGCGAAAGCUGUGCUAAUACCGCAUACGAUCUACGGAUGAAAGCAGGGGAUCGCAAGACCUUGCGCGAAUGGAGCGGCCGAUGGCAGAUUAGGUAGUUGGUGAGGUAAAGGCUCACCAAGCCUUCGAUCUGUAGCUGGUCUGAGAGGACGACCAGCCACACUGGGACUGAGACACGGCCCAGACUCCUACGGGAGGCAGCAGUGGGGAAUUUUGGACAAUGGGCGAAAGCCUGAUCCAGCCAUGCCGCGUGCAGGAUGAAGGCCUUCGGGUUGUAAACUGCUUUUGUACGGAACGAAACG